rnacentral:rRNA from 1 species
UACGGAGGAUGCGAGCGUUAUCCGGAUUUAUUGGGUUUAAAGGGUGCGUAGGCGGGAUGCCAAGUCAGCGGUCAAAUACGGGGGCUCAACCUGCGUCCGCCGUUGAAACUGGCGUUCUUGAGUGGGCGAGAAGUACGCGGAAUGCGUGGUGUAGCGGUGAAAUGCAUAGAUAUCGCGCAGAACUCCGAUUGCGAAGGCAGCAUGCCGGCUCCACACUGACGCUGAGGCACGAAAGCGUGGGUAUCGAACAGG